UACGUAGGUGGCAAGCGUUGUCCGGAUUUACUGGGCGUAAAGAGCGCGCAGGCGGUCGUUCAAGUCGCGUGUGAAAGCCCCCGGCUCAACUGGGGAGGGUCACGCGAUACUGAUCGACUGGAAGGCAGGAGAGGGUAGUGGAAUUCCCGGUGUAGUGGUGAAAUGCGUAGAUAUCAUGAGGAAUACCAGAGGCGAAGGCGGCUACCUGGACAAUUGCUGACGCUCAGGCACGAAAGCGUGGGGAGCAAAAGGG
rnacentral:rRNA from 1 species